GGCGGUAUAGCUCAGUGGUAGAGCACAUGCUUAGCAUGCAUGAGGUCCUGAGUUCAAACCCCAGUACCUCCU
rnacentral:tRNA from 1 species